rnacentral:rRNA from 1 species
AGAGUUUGAUCCUGGCUCAGGAUGAACGCUAGCGGCGCGCCUUAUGCAUGCAAGUCGAACGGUCUCUCGCAAGAGAGAUAGUGGCAAACGGGUGAGUAAUAGAUAAAUAACCUGCCUUUAAGUGGGGGAUAACACUUCGAAAGAAGUGCUAAUACCGCAUGUGAUGCUCUUUCAUAAGAAGGAUCAUUAAAACCGCAAGGUGCUUGAAGAGGGGUUUGUCUCCGAUUAGCUUGUUGGUGGGGUAACGGCCUACCAAGGCAAUGAUCGGUAGCUGGUCUUAGAGGAUGGUCAGCCACACUGGAACUGAGACACGGUCCAGACUCCUACGGGAGGCAGCAGCAAGGAAUCUUGGGCAAUGGGCGAAAGCCUGACCCAGCGACGCCGCGUGAGGGAUGAAGGCCUUCGGGUUGUAAACCUCUUUUCUCAGGGAAGAAUAAUGACGGUACCUGAGGAAUAAGUCUCGGCUAACUACGUGCCAGCAGCCGCGGUAAUACGUAGGAGGCGAGCGUUAUCCGGAUUUAUUGGGCGUAAAGUGGGCGUAGGUGGUCUUUCAAGUCAGAUGUGAAAUCUCCCGGCUCAACUGGGAGGGGUCAUCUGAUACUGUUGGACUUGAGUAUGGCAGGAGAAAACGGAAUUCCCGGUGUAGUGGUGAAAUGCGUAGAUAUCGGGAGGAACACCAGAGGCGAAGGCGGUUUUCUAGGCCGAAACUGACACUGAGGCCCGAAAGCGUGGGGAGCGAACAGGAUUAGAUACCCUGGUAGUCCACGCCCUAAACACUGGGUACUAGGUAUAGGGAGUAUCGACCCUUUCUGUGCCGAAGCUAACGCUUUAAGUACCCCGCCUGGGGAGUACGGUCGCAAGACUAAAACUCAAAGGAAUUGACGGGGGCCCGCACAAGCAGCGGAGCGUGUGGUUUAAUUCGAUCUACACGAAGAACCUCACCAGGGUUUGACAUGUUAGAAGUAGUGAACCGAAAGGGGAACGACCUGUUAAGUCAGGAGCUAUCACAGGUGCUGCAUGGCUGUCGUCAGCUCGUGCCGUGAGGUGUAUGGUUAAGUCCUGCAACGAGCGCAACCCUUAUUGCUAGUUAUAUUCUCUAGCGAUACUGCCUCGCAAAACGGGGAGGAAGGUGGGGAUGACGUCAAGUCAGCAUGGCCCUUAUACCCUGGGCUACACACACGCUACAAUGGGCGGUACAAUGGGUUGCCACCGGGUGACCGGGAGCUAAUCCCCAAAACCGCCCUCAGUUCGGAUUGCAGGCUGCAACUCGCCUGCAUGAAGUCGGAGUUGCUAGUAAACGCGUGUCAGCAUAGCGCGUUGAAUACGUUCUCGGGCCUUGUACACACCGCCCGUCACGUCAUGAAAGUUGGUAACACCUGAAGUCGAUAGGCUAACCCGCAAGGGAGGCAGUCGCCCAAGGUGGGACUGAUAAUUGGGACGAAGUCGUAACAAGGUA